rnacentral:lncRNA from 1 species
GUUUGUUUGUUUUAUGGCCACACCUGUGGCAUAUGGAAGUUCCUAGGCUAGGGGUUAAAUCAGAGCUGCAGCUGCCGGCCUACGACACAGCCACAGCAACACCAGAUCCGAGCUGCAUCUGACCUACGCUGCAGCUUGUGGCAAUGCUAGAUUCUUAACCCACUGAGCGAGGCCAUGGAUCAAACCUGUAUCCUCACAGAGACAAUGCGUGGCCCUGAAGAAAGUCUCUGAUUCUGAGCAAAGUCUCUUUGUUGCUAAGGCCAAGUUCACACCUUGAAGUUGGUUCUGGUUAGAGGGCCACUGUCAUGUCUGUAACAAAGUUGUGGUCUCAGUAGCCCAGAUGCUCUAGGGUGAUGGGUACUGUCUUUCUUUCACCAUCCCCAGCCUUGUGACUGUGCUUCUAAUCAUCUGCUCUGGCUCACCCUGUCUGUUUGCCUGGAUUUCUAUCACUGCUCCUGUUUCUCUAUCCCCAUGAUUCAUUCGUGGUCAGGGCACUCUGAAGACACCAUGUUGAAUUUUGUUGUGCUGAUCAAAUCACUAUAUUCCCACCAGCUAUCUGUUGCUGUGUUCCAUGUGCCACAGUGAUCUCCAUCACCGGUCCCUAUUCCUGAAUCUGUCCCCAAACUCCAAUGCCUGACCUCUUACAAUCAGGGAAAUUCUGUCCCAGGUUCCUGCCUUUCUUAUUCUGCCCCGAAUCACUGCAGUUAAAUGGGCCAUGUGUAUUUGUGUCCAGAGACACAACAGAUGGGAUCUUGGGGAUUAAGGUAGCACACAGAGAGCAGAGGGCUUUUAGAAGGAUUAGUCUUUCGCCCGGUGGGGAGGGUAGAGAAGGACACUGGGGAGCUGAUUUGAAAAGGGUCACUUGGCCCUAGAAGCAUAUGUGACAGCCGCUGGAUUUAGUUCACUCUCCCUGUCCCUGUCUGUCUGCAGAAAAAAGAGCACCAGACUCAAGAGUCAGAAACACAGGUUUGAGUGCCAGCUGUGCCAUUUACUAGUUAUGUGACCUCACACAGACGAGUUCACUUCUCUGAGCUUAUUUGCUCAGGUGUAAAAUGAAGCUAAUAACAUACCCAUAAUUCGGCCCAGAAUGAGGCUGUCAGGGGUCUCAUAAGGAUCACGUGACAGAACGUUUGAAGAAGCAAUCAGCCCACGAUAAAGGAGUUUAAUAAUGUUGGGCGGCAUUAGGACAAUGAGGAAGGAAGGGACAGGCAGAUAGAUUAGUCCAUAAGGCAUCAAGCAGAACCUUAAAAAUAAGUGAUGAUGGCAUCUUUAUGUUUGGAUGGAACCAGGCAAUUGCUGCAUUAUAAGAAAAGGAUGCAAAAGAUAUUGCAUUCAAAGAAGGCAAGGAUUUCAGCGGCUCGCUGGGGCUGGGGUGGGUAGAGCUGAACCACCAUUCAGUGAGGAAGCAAGCUGAGGAUCGUGAAGACCUGGAGAACUGGGCAACACAGGACAAAGCACCUCUGCAGAGUGUGGGUUGAGUAAACCCCCCGGGCAGGACCCUGAGCUAAUUUUACUGCUGAUGGAAAGCUCUGACUCUCAACUUGGGAAGUUCAACCAAAUGGCUUCUUCUCCUGAUCUGCAGUUGGGAUGGGCAGAUGCACAAGGGGAUAAGCCACAGAUGGCACUGUUGCCAUAGGAUGGAGUCACUGUUUGCGUGCCUUGUUGCUGUGUAGCUUCGAGGCCUCUUUCCCUUACAUGAAUUCCUCAUGCACCCACUUGCUGAGCCUAGCCUUGUCUCCUUGUCUUUCCAGCACAGUUCCCACACAUGUGGAAGCUUCGCCAGCUGCCCAGUAGCCAGACAUCAGCCGUUGGCAAGGCUUCCCAGAAUGGGGCCUGGACCACCCAGCUAGUGAGCAGACUGAUGUGGAAUGUGGGAUCAUGUGCUAGAACGUGGCAGGACCACACUGCUCCAUGGGAUGUCCCGUCUGUGGGAGCGGGAUCUUUGGGGCCAUCAGCGAGAGGCAGGCAGACUCCCUGAGUUCUCACAAGAGGCCCUGGAACACAAGGGGUGGUCGUUUAUUGCCAGAUCUUUCCACCUGGUAGGUUUUUCCUCACAAAACGUUCACACAGCAAACCUUUCAGGCUUAGAGCAAACAGAACACACUAGGCAGAGGGCAGGGGAGCACAGGGAGAAAGUAGGGAAGGAGGGGAAAGUGUCAAGUGAUUAAGAUGAGAAGCCUCUACCAAGAGGUGGUGAACAAGAGGCGGUUUUGCUGAGUAAGGCUGGAAACAUCUUUAAAAUGGAUAAGUCUCCUGUAGCAAAGUGACAGAAUAAUUAAACUGCAAACACUCUCUGUUGUCCAAGGUUGGAGAAAAUGAAGUUAUCGGAUGAUCAUAAAAAUGGAAAAUCCAGAAAGCAAAGGCAGAGAAUAGCUGAAGCAAAGACUAGGGAUAAGCUGGUUAAGGGGGAUUUCGGCAAUGUUUUAGAGAACUGAAACAGUGGGGGGGGGGGGAAUCUAUUUUUUUAAUAGACAAGAGUUCUUAUUCAGGAGAAAAGUUUUAGAUUGACAGUGAGAGUUGCAAUAGUAGAGA